UGCAGAGGCCUUGAGACUGGGACGUUGCCGGGCAUGUGUGAGGGCGAGGAGGAAGCCAGUGUGGCCAGGGCAGCGUGGGAGCCGGAAUCCUUCCUAGAGGCUCAAAGCUUUCCUCUGGGGUCCACGGGAGCCCCAGAGGGUCCUGAGCAGCUUAGUGUGGCCUGACCGAGCUUCUGCAAGGGUCCCCCUGACUGUGUGUGGAGAAUGGACUGUCAGGGCCUGGGAAGAAGGGCGGCAACCAGAGAGGAGGUGACUGCGAUGGUCCGGGCAGAAGGGCAUGGUGGCCAGGCCCAGGGGAAGACUGGAGGAGGGGAUGUGGGGGAAGGUCACGACCUCACAGUCUAGAUCUGUUCUAGAGGCGGACAGGACACCCUGCUGGACCAGAUGUAACAGAAAUCAAGAAAUCAGGGGCGGCUCCAAGGAUUCAGGCUGAGCGGCAGGAAGGACGGAGCCCCCUCCUUAGGGAGGCGCAAGCACUGUGCCGGCUCCCAGGGGAGGACGGAUGUGGGUGGGACAGCCCUUCCUGGGACCACGGGGGACCUCGGCAAAGCCCUGCCCCCAGUAUGCGGGCCUAACUUUCUGACAGCCCCCCAGUUCAGAUGAAGAUCCUUCCUCCGAGCCCCCCAUUCCAUCCCUGGCAAAAGCUCUUGUACAUUAUGCAGAAGCCACCACAUGUCCUCUCCCCUUCAAUCCUGAAGAGCAGCAAACUCUUCUGUGAGCCCUCAUCGUGUGCCUGGCAGGGUCCUCUUCCUUACAUUUGUGAAUUCAUCUGAUCAUCACAGCAGUUCAAAGAGGGGAGGACUAUUAUUUGCAUCUACUUCAUGGAUGGGAAAACUAAGGCCCAGAGAGGUUAAGUCACUGAAGUCUUAGAUCACUAAUAAGUGGCAGAGGCAGGAUUUGACCCCAGGGCUCAUGCUGUUAACCAUGCUACUGUCUCAUGAGCUGCUCACCAUUGACCAUGAAGAGUCAAACUGGAGGACUGGGGUUGGGAGAGGGGUCCUCAGCCACCCCUCCCAGCAUCUACCCCAUGCUGUGUCUCUAUCCUGCACAUCAACUGAAGGGGUGGAUAUUAUGGUGAUUAUGCCCAUUCUACAGAUGAGAAAACUGAGGCGCAGAGAGAGGAAGUGCCAUGCCCAAAGUCACACAAGCAUGAGGACCCAGGGUUCUGGGGCUCCAGACCCCCUUCUGUCCCCAUGUCCAUACUACCUGUGCCUGUCACCUACUUCUCGCCCUGGUAGGGAGGGAGAUGUUCAGGGGUACGAGGGCCAUGCUGAGUUUCCUUCCGGUUGGCCAGAGGAUGAAGAAGCAGGCUGAGGGUGUGGAGAGGUAACGGGGACAGCACAGCUCUUUGGGCCUGUAGAUUCUGUCUGACAGCAACCAACGUUUCUGAGGCCAGCGCUGGGCCAGGCUUGGGGAGGGGGGCGUGGAGGCAGGAACACACAGCCGAGUGUGUGAGGGAGGUUGAGGCCCCAGUUGCCUCUGACGCCACAGGAAAUGGGGGGGCUGUCACAGGAGUUCACUUCGAGAGCAGCCCAGGGAAGCAGGUGCUCGUGAGCGUCUGCUUUGGGCAGCCUGUCUAAUCUCUUCAGAACUCAGUUUCCACUUCUGUGAAAUGGGUUGCUAAUGCCUGCCUCGGAAGACGGUUGUCAGGCCGCGUGGUUUUUAGGAUGGGAAGAGCACAGGAUCAAGCACAUCGCAGAUGGUCUGGAGACGCGGAACCUGCUGGGCACAUGGAGCAAAAAACGAAGUGCUCUGGACACUUUCUUUACAUGUGAAGUGAAUGCUUUCCCUCUAUUUCAUAUGUACACAGAAGCUCUCAAACCCCUGAUGAGGUGAGUAUCAAGAUCAUCUUAACCGGGACUUCCCCGGUGGUCCACUGGCUAAGAUUCUGCACUCCCUAAGCAGGGGGCCCGGGUUCAAUCCCUGGUCAGGAAACUAGAUCUCACAUGCUGCAACUGAGACCUGGAGCCGCCAAACAAGUUUUUCAAAAAAUCAUCUUCAAUGAACAGAUAAGAAAAUUGAUACCCAGUUAAGUUAUGAGACUUAACCAGGGUCACAGAGCUGGAAAGGGAUGAAGUAGGAAUUCAACCCUGACUCACUGGGCUUCCCUGGUGUCUCAGAUGGUUAAAAAAAAAAGAUCUGCCUGCAAUGCAGGAGACCCCGGUUCGACCCCUGAGUCAGGAAGAUCCCCUAGAGAAGAAAAUGGCAACCCACUCCAGUAUUCUUGCCUGGAGAAUCCUAUGGACCUCCCACGGGGUUGCAAAGAGUCGGACACAAUUGAACGAAUAACACUUUCACUUUCUUUCACUCUGCCUCCUCAGCUUUGCCUCUCAAAUUACGAACCUGAGAUCACAGUAGCUUCGGUUUUUCUCGAGCACUUACUGUGUGCCGUGUGCUAUUCCGAGCACUUCACAUAUUACUCUAGACCUCCAGUGGUUCAGACAGGUUCUGCUUCAGUCCCAUUCUACACACGAAGAAAGAGGUUAAGUAACUUAUACAAGGUCAGACGCUCUGGAGGUACGGCCCAUGGUCUUAGGCCACCACGCUCCACUUGAGAGGGUCAGCCCAGUGCCCGGCGCCCAGUAAGUGCUUAAUACACUGCUAAACCUUGGGAGAGGAUAAAGAGAUGAGCAGGGCUUUCCCGUUCUAAGCCACGCUGAGCGCUCGCUUGAGAAGUCACCGUUCCCUGUUCCCACCCCUUCCUGCCAGUCUCGCCGGCCAGAGGAGAAACUGCCUGGGGGCCCUCUUCCCGUCUCCCCCGCCCCCUGGGGAGGUUCUGUGCGGCGUCCACGGGGUCACGGGGCUGCUGGCCGGAGGGCUGGCGAGGACCCGAGUUUGGCCAGGUUAUCAAGUUUCGUGGUCAGCCACCUUCGCCCCUGACCAGAGCUGUCUUUCCAAAACAGAACAUUCAGUCACCGCCCGUCCCUGUGCUCAGCUGUCCUUGUGCUCCUGACCUCGCUUCCUGCCCACCCGCCCGUUUGUUUUUUUCCUCCCCACCCCCUAGUAUCCUUGUCUCUUACUGACAUCUCGCGAAGAUGACCAGGGCAGGCAAGACAGAGUCAGAGAGAAAGAGAAGCUGAGAGGCCGAGACGGGAGAGAAUCGGAGAGACUGUCAGGCACUGACGGAUCAAGACAGAGGACGUGUGCCCAAGACCUCGGCUCCUGUAUCUUUGUUCUCCAGCAUCUGUUGCUGCUCGACACAGAGGAGGAGUGCUGGCGUGUUACUUACUGAGCGCUUACCAUAUGUCGUGCCUCUGGGUUUCAUCUGGAAGUGGGAAGAAGUCUGACAUGCCGACCCUGACUCAGAGUGUGGUCAGGGUCAGACACGACGGUGCUACGUCAUCAGUGGGUCUCCUUGGUGGAAGCUGGGUGCACUCCGAAGAGCAAAGGUUUUGGAGAUACACAGUGGGUUUGUGUCCCGAUCCUUCUCUGUGUGGCCUCAAGCAAAUUGCUUGACCCCUCUCUCCAAACCUAGACUCCAAACCCAGAUUUGCUCAUCCUACCUGGUAGGAUUGUUGCCAGCCCAUGCUUAUGAAAUGCAAGGCCCAGGCCUGGAUGUGACUGACAGAUACCGAGGUGGGCCUCAGCUUGUAAGGCUGGCAGAGCCUCUUAAUUUUCCAUCCCUGCCUUUCAAUGCGACGCAAGCUUCCUGCAGUGAGGGCCACAAACCAGGGAAGAGCUGGAGUCGGCGAAUCCAGCGCAUCUGGAUUCAGGUUCGGCCUCGUCCACGCCCCCGCUGCUCGGUUUCAGACAAGCCCCUGGGCCUGUCUGAACUCCAAGUCCCACCUCUACCUCCAAGGCCCCCUUGCUGUUUCUCAAACACAGCUGUUACGCCUGCACCCAAGCUGCGAGAGAGGCUGCGAAAAGCACAAACCUGAGGCUCAGAGAGGUGAAGUCACUGACCUCAGGUCACAUAGCCAGAAAGUGAAGGAGCCAAGAAUCCAGAUGCGGAAACUGAGGCUCAGCUGAUGAAGCCCCUGGCCAGAAGUCACACAGCUGGAUUGAACCCAGACCUUUGAACGUCACUUUGUAUGGCAUAAGGAAUUAUGCAGCUAUGAUUUAGCUAAAGAUCUUGAGCUGGGAAGAUGAUCCUGGAUGAUCUGAGUGGGCCCAAUGGAAUCACGGGAGUCCUUAUAAGAUGGAGGCUGAAGGAGGUUUGACCACAGAAGAGGAGAAGGCAGAGAGAAUGACAGAACCAGAUUGAAAGGAGGCACAUUGAAGAGGGAAGAAGGGGCCACAAGCCAAGGGAUGCAAGUCACCACUGGAAGUUGGAGAAGACAAGGAAACAGCCUCUCCUCAGAGCCUCCGGCAGGAGCCAGCCCUGCCAGCAUCUUGACUUCAGUCCAGAGACUGAUUUCAGACUUCUGACCUCCAGAACUCUAAGUAAAUAAAUUUGUGCUCUUAAGCCACGAAAUUUGUGAUCAUUUGCUACAGCAGCCGUGGGAAACUGAUGCAGAUGCCAUGGGGAAGACAGAGGUGGGGAGAGUGGGGUGGGCAGUGACGUGGGGAGAGUGAAGUGGGAGCUGGGGGACCAAGGCUGGGGGCUACUGCAGUAGUCCAGGCAGGAGAUGAGGGUGGGCAGAGAGAAGUGGAUGGAUUCAAGAGGACUUUAGGAAGCCAGACAGGCAGCCUUGCUGAUGGG
ensembl:lncRNA